ensembl:lncRNA
AUGGUUGUUGGCACAGGGGUUGAUCUGGUUUCUGGCACAGAGGUUGAGCUCGUUGUUGGCACAGGGGUUGAUCUGGUUUCUGGCACAGAGGUUCCACUGGUUGUUGGCACAGGGGUUGAGGUGGUUUUAGGCACAGAGAUUGGGAUGUUUGGUGGGACAGAGAUUGAGCUGGUUACUGGCACAGAGGUUGGGCUGGUUGGUGGCACAAAGGUGGACCUGGUUUCUCGCACAGAGGUUGGGCUCGUUGUUGGCACAGGGGUUGAUCUGGUUUCUGGCACAGAGGUUUCUUUGAUUGUUGGCACAGGGGUUGAGCUGGUUUCUGGCACAGAGGUUCCGCUUGUUGGAGGCACAGUGGUUGACCUUGUUUCUGGCACAGAGAUUGGGCUGGUUGGUGGCAGAGAGGUUGACCUGGUUUCUGGCACAGAGUUUGUGCUCGUUUGUGGCACAGGGGUUGAGCUGGUUUCUGGCACAGAGGUUGGGCUGGCUGGUGGCACAGAGGUUGAUCUGGUUUCUGGCACAGAGAUUGGGAUGGUUGGGGUCAUAGGGGUUGAGCGGGAUGUCACUAGGCGGGCGGUGGUCUCAGUUAGGCUGGUGUGGCUCACACUCGGGGUGUGAGGGACUGUGACUGUUUUGUGGCUUGAGCACUUCUCUGGGGGCUCACAGCACAACACCCGGACCUCAUAGUUGAGGCACAUCCCGAUAUUGCCCUCUUGGUCCUGAUUUCUGCACACCAGGCCCUUGCUGAGGUCGCACUGCACCACCUGGUCCAGCUCCUCGAUGCUGACGUCGGGGUGGCUCUCAGCCCGGCACUCCAGCUGCGAGAUGUACUCGGGCCGGCGGCAGAUUUUCUCUCCCUUUCUCUUGAUGUUGUAGUAGGUUUCCACGUCUCCUCCGUGGGGCCCCGGGGACGGGAAGUCCACGUCAAACCACUUGGUCCACGUGCACUGUGGCUGGCAGGUGACAGUCACCGGUGAGGAGACCAAGUGUGUGCCGGGUGUCGUGCUGGUUUUGGGGUGCAUGGGCGGUGAGCUGGUUCUGCUCUGUUGUGUGGGAGAGAAGGGAAUUCCAGUGGUCCAGGUAAGCUGUGUGUGGGUCUCAGUUUCCCUCGAGGUCGAGUGUGUGGUCUCCAAUAUCACAGGGUGUGAGGUGCUUCUGCACACGUCCUGCAGCUCACAGCACUCGAUCCGGAUUUCAUAGUUAUAGCAGAUUGGGGGCGUCUGGUUCUUAUUCAGGCAUAUGAGCCCCACGUUCUUGUUACAGAUCACGUCCUGUCCCAACUCCUCCAGUGGGAUGUUUGGGAAGUACUUUGCCCUGCACUCCACAUUGCUGGGCUUUUCACAGAAUUUAUGUCCUUUGGAUCUCAAAUAAGGAAAAGUGUCAAAAUCUCCACUGUUUAUACCAGGCCCAGGGUAGCUGCUGUCAAACCACUGGGUCCACGUGCACAACUUUUGCAAACAAGGCCCACGUGUUGUGGAAACUGGGCUCGGAAUGGAGAGAGUGGUUUUCAGCCCGGCAGUCGUAGGAGUGCCCGGGGUGCUCGCGGUGGUACCCGGGACAGGUGUAGGGGUACCUGGGGCAGGUGUUUCGCUGGUUGGCACGGAUGGAACCUUGCUAACCCCUUGCGUGGGCCCAGUUUCUGUACUCCGGGAAGUUGCAGGAGGAGUGGUCUGGGCUGGGCUGCUGGGGGUGCGGCAGGUCCGGGGGAAGCAGCACAGAGUCCUGAUCUGGUAGUUGUGGCAGAGCCCUGACGUCUGGUUGCGGUUGUAGCAGCUCAGGCCCACCAUCGGGCUGCAUUCUACGUGCUGCCCCAGGACUUCGAGCGGCACCCCAGGGGCCCCCUCAGCUUGGCACUCCACUCUCUUCGGCACCGCGCAAACCUGGUACCCAUGGGCACGGAGGUUCUCCAGCGUGUCGAAGUCACCGCUGUCGAUGCCCCGUCCCGGAUGGCUGACAUCCAGCCAUGGUGACCACUGGCACUCCUCCCCACAGGGGAAGGGCUGGACGGUCGGACUGGAGGUUAUGCCUGUGUGCGCCGUGCUCUUGGCACGGGUGUGGCAUGUGCGGGCCGGACGUGUUGAGCUCACGACUGAGGACAGAACAGAAGGCGGAGGGGCUAAGUCUCUUGGGGUCCUCGAGGCAUCCCCUCUCACCCCCAUCCCUGUCCCCCUGUCAGCUGCUGUGCGACUGUCUCCACCUGCGAUGGCAGCCUGGGGAGAGCGAGCACCAAGUCCUGGGACACACCUG